GAUGAACGCUGGCGGCGUGCCUAAUACAUGCAAGUCGAGCGAACAGACGAGGAGCUUGCUCCUCUGACGUUAGCGGCGGACGGGUGAGUAACACGUGGAUAACCUACCUAUAAGACUGGGAUAACUUCGGGAAACCGGAGAUAAUACCGGAUAACAUGUUGAACCGCAGGGUUCAACAGUGAAAGACGGUCUUGCUGUCACUUAUAGAUGGAUCCGCGCCGCAUUAGCUAGUUGGUAAGGUAACGGCUUACCAAGGCAACGAUGCGUAGCCGACCUGAGAGGGUGAUCGGCCACACUGGAACUGAGACACGGUCCAGACUCCUACGGGAGGCAGCAGUAGGGAAUCUUCCGCAAUGGGCGAAAUCCUGACGGAGCAACGCCGCGUGAGUGAAGAAGGUCUUCGGAUCGUAAAGCUCUGUUAUUAGGGAAGAACAAAUGUGUAAGUAACUAUGCACGUCUUGACGGUACCUAAUCAGAAAGCCACGGCUAACUUCGUG
rnacentral:rRNA from 1 species